GGGAAACAGGAAGCGGGGCCUGCCCCAGGCCCCCAAACCGCAAGCGUAUGGAGCC
rfam:Neotoma lepida isolate 417 scaffold_460, whole genome shotgun sequence.